rnacentral:rRNA from 1 species
UGGUGGAGUGAUUUGUCUGGUUAAUUCCGUUAACGAACGAGACCUCGACCUGCUAAAUAGUUCGGCGUAGGCUUCUGCCUAUGUACGUGACUUCUUAGAGGGACUGUCGGUUACUAGCCGAAGGAAGUUCGAGGCAAUAACA